GACGAACGCUGGCGGCGUGCCUAAUACAUGCAAGUCGAGCGCAGGAAGUCAUCCGACCCCUUCGGGGGGACGUUGACGGAAUGAGCGGCGGACGGGUGAGUAACACGUAAAGAACCUGCCCUCAGGUCUGGGAUAACCACGAGAAAUCGGGGCUAAUACCGGAUGGGUCAUCGGACCGCAUGGUCCGAGGAUGAAAGGCGCUCCGGCGUCGCCUGGGGAUGGCUUUGCGGUGCAUUAGCUAGUUGGUGGGGUAAUGGCCCACCAAGGCGACGAUGCAUAGCCGACCUGAGAGGGUGAUCGGCCACACUGGGACUGAGACACGGCCCAGACUCCUACGGGAGGCAGCAGUAGGGAAUCUUCCACAAUGGACGAAAGUCUGAUGGAGCAACGCCGCGUGAACGAUGAAGGCCCUCGGGUCGUAAAGGUCUGUUGUAAGGGAAGAACAAGUGCCGCAGGCAAGGGCGGCACCUUGACGGUACCUUGCGAGAAAGCCACGGCUAACUACGUGC
rnacentral:rRNA from 1 species